rnacentral:rRNA from 1 species
CACGUAGUUAGCCGGGGCUUCUUAGUCAGGUACCGUCAUUUUCUUUCCUGCUGGAUAGAGCUUUACGUACCGAAAUACUUCUUCACUCACGCGGCGUCGCUGGAUCAGGGUUUCCCCCAUUGUCCAAUAUUCCCCACUGCUGCCUCCCGUAGGAGUUUGGGCCGUGUCUCAGUCCCAAUGUGGCCGUCCACCCUCUCGAGGCCGGCUACUGAUCGUCGCCUUGGUGGGCCGUUACCCCGCCAACCAGCUAAUCAGACGCGGGCCCAUCCCAUACCACCGGUAGUUUUCACACACCUUCAUGCGAAGCUGUGCGCUUAUGCGGUUUUAGCACCUGUUUCCAGGUGUUAUCCCCCGGUAGUGGGGCAGGUUCGCCCACGCGUUACUCACCCGUCCGCCACUAACUUACUACUUACCGUUAGUCAAUCGACAAGCAUCUCCUGCUUCUGUGUAAGUCCGUUUCGACUUGCUAGUGUGUUAGGCACGCCGCCAGCGU